GGAGACUUACCCAAGUGGUUAAGGGGGCAUCCUGCUAAGAUGCUAGGCGGCCAAAAGCUGCGCGAGGGUUCGAAUCCCUCAGUUUCCG
rnacentral:tRNA from 1 species